rnacentral:rRNA from 1 species
AUUGAACGCUGGCGGCAGGCCUAACACAUGCAAGUCGAGCGGUAGAGAGAAGCUUGCUUCUCUUGAGAGCGGCGGACGGGUGAGUAAUGCCUAGGAAUCUGCCUGGUAGUGGGGGAUAACGUUCGUAAACGGACGCUAAUACCGCAUACGUCCUACGGGAGAAAGCAGGGGACCUUCGGGCCUUGCGCUAUCAGAUGAGCCUAGGUCGGAUUAGCUAGUUGGUGGGGUAAUGGCUCACCAAGGCGACGAUCCGUAACUGGUCUGAGAGGAUGAUCAGUCACACUGGAACUGAGACACGGUCCAGACUCCUACGGGAGGCAGCAGUGGGGAAUAUUGGACAAUGGGCGAAAGCCUGAUCCAGCCAUGCCGCGUGUGUGAAGAAGGUCUUCGGAUUGUAAAGCACUUUAAGUUGGGAGGAAGGGCAGUAAAUUAAUACUUUGCUGUUUUGACGUUACCGACAGAAUAAGCACCGGCUAACUCUGUG